UACAGAGGUCUCAAGCGUUUGUUCGGAUUCAUUGGGCGUAAAGGGUGUGUAGGUGGCGCGCUAAGUCGGGGUGUGAAAUUUCGGAGCUUAACUCCGAAACUGCAUUCGAUACUGGCGUGCUUGAGGACUGGAGAGGAGACUGGAAUUUACGGUGUAGCAGUGAAAUGCGUAGAUAUCGUAAGGAAGACCAGUGGCGAAGGCGGGUCUCUGGACAGUUCCUGACACUGGAGACACGAAGGACCAGGGGGAGCAAAACGGG
rnacentral:rRNA from 1 species